rnacentral:rRNA from 1 species
CCCUGGCUCAGGAUGAACGCAGGCGGCGUGCUUAACACAUGCAAGUCGAACGAUGAUCCCAGCUUGCUGGGGGAUUAGUGGCGAACGGGUGAGUAACACGUGAGUAACCUGCCCUUAACUCUGGGAUAAGCCUGGGAAACUGGGUCUAAUACCGGAUAUGACUCCUCAUCGCAUGGUGGGGGGUGGAAAGCUUUAUUGUGGUUUUGGAUGGACUCGCGGCCUAUCAGCUUGUUGGUGAGGUAAUGGCUCACCAAGGCGACGACGGGUAGCCGGCCUGAGAGGGUGACCGGCCACACUGGGACUGAGACACGGCCCAGACUCCUACGGGAGGCAGCAGUGGGGAAUAUUGCACAAUGGGCGAAAGCCUGAUGCAGCGACGCCGCGUGAGGGAUGACGGCCUUCGGGUUGUAAACCUCUUUCAGUAGGGAAGAAGCGAAAGUGAACGGUACCUGCAGAAGAAGCGCCGGCUAACUA